AGAGUGCGUAAUAGCUCACUAGUCGAGAGGUCCUGCGCCGAAAAUGUCCGGGGCUGAAACACAACACCGAAGCUUAGGAAUGUAGAAAUACAUUGGUAGAGGAGCAUUCUUAAAGGAAUGAAGCAGUACCGGUAAGGAGCUGUGGACUUUUAAGAAGAGAGAAUGCCGGAAUGAGUAGCGAGAGGAAGGUGAGAAUCCUUCCGGCCGAAUAUCCAAGGUUUCCAGAGUAAAGCUGAUCUGCUCUGGGUAAGUCGGGGCCUAAGGCGAGGUCGAAAGACGUAGUCGAUGGAUAACAGGUGGAGAUUCCUGUACUAUGUGUACCCAGAACUGUGGGGACGCAUGUGGAGAGCAUGAGCCGGGAAAGAAAAAACCGGUACAAGCGGGGUAGGAGUAAGGACAGCAAAUCUUCCUUACAAUCCGAAGACGUAAUGUGGACCGAACCAAAGUAGGGAAGCGUGUGAGCCAUGUGCCAAGAAAAGCCGCUAUUGUGAUACACAUACCCGUACCGUAAACCGACACAGGUGGAUGAGGAGAGAAUCCUAAGGCCGACGGAAGAAGCAUUGUUAAGGAACUCGGCAAAAUGACCCCGUAACUUCGGGAGAAGGGGUGCCCUGUGAAAGCAGGGCCGCAGAGAAUAGGCUCAAGCAACUGUUUAGCAAAAACACAGGUCUAUGCGAAACCGAAAGGUGAGGUAUAUGGGCUGACGCCUGCCCGGUGCUGGAAGGUUAAGAGGAGAAGUCAGGCAACGAAGCUUCGAAUUUAAGCCCCAGUAAACGGCGGCCGUAACUAUAACGGUCCUAAGGUAGCGAAAUUCCUUGUCGGGUAAGUUCCGACCCGCACGAAAGGCGUAAUGAUUUGAGCGCUGUCUCGACAAUGCACCCGGUGAAAUUGAAAUACCAGUGAAGAUGCUGGUUACCUGCGCCAGGACGGAAAGACCCCAUGGAGCUUUACUCCAGCUUGAUACUGGGAUUCGAUACUGUAUGUACAGGAUAGGUGGGAGACGUUGAGCAUAGAACGCCAGUUUUAUGUGAGUCGCUGUUGGGAUACCACCCUUGCAGUAUUGGAUUUCUAACCUGCACCCAUGACCUGGGUGGGGGACAAUGUCUGGCGGGGAGUUUGACUGGGGCGGUCGCCUCCGAAAGGGUAUCGGAGGCGCUCAAAGGUUCCCUCAGAAUGGUUGGAAACCAUUCGAAGAGUGCAAAGGCAGAAGGGAGCUUGACUGUGACACCGACGGGUGGAACAGGUACGAAAGUAGGACUUAGUGAUCCGGUGGUAUAAAGUGGGAUUGCCAUCGCUCAACGGAUAAAAGCUACCCUGGGGAUAACAGGCUUAUCACUCCCAAGAGUUCACAUCGACGGAGUGGUUUGGCACCUCGAUGUCGGCUCAUCGCAUCCUGGGGCUGUAGCAGGUCCCAAGGGUUGGGCUGUUCGCCCAUUAAAGCGGUACGCGAGCUGGGUUCAGAACGUCGUGAGACAGUUCGGUCCCUAUCCGGCGCAGGCGGAGGAUAUUUGAGAGGAGCUGUCCUUAGUACGAGAGGACCGGGAUGGACGGACCACUGGUGUAUCUGUUGGCUAUCGGAGCCAUGGCAGAGUAGCCAAGUCCGGCAGGGAUAAACGCUGAAGGCAUCUAAGCGUGAAGCCCCCCUCAAGAUGAGAUAUCCCUCAGAAAUGAGUAAGACCCCUUGA
rnacentral:rRNA from 1 species